rnacentral:rRNA from 1 species
AGCUCCUGGAAACGGGUGGUAAUGCCGGAUGCUCCAGUUGAUCGCAUGGUCUUCUGGGAAAGCUUUCGCGGUAUGGGAUGGGGUCGCGUCCUAUCAGCUUGACGGCGGGGUAACGGCCCACCGUGGCUUCGACGGGUAGCCGGCCUGAGAGGGCGACCGGCCACAUUGGGACUGAGAUACGGCCCAGACUCCUACGGGAGGCAGCAGUGGGGAAUAUUGCACAAUGGGCGCAAGCCUGAUGCAGCGACGCCGCGUGAGGGAUGGAGGCCUUCGGGUUGUAAACCUCUUUUAUCGGGGAGCAAGCGAGAGUGAGUUUACCCGUUGAAUAAGCACCGGCUAACUACGUGCCAGCAGCCGCGGUAAUACGUAGGGUGCAAGCGUUAUCCGGAAUUAUUGGGCGUAAAGGGCUCGUAGGCGGUUCGUCGCGUCCGGUGUGAAAGUCCAUCGCUUAACGGUGGAUCCGCGCCGGGUACGGGCGGGCUUGAGUGCGGUAGGGGAGACUGGAAUUCCCGGUGUAACGGUGGAAUGUGUAGAUAUCGGGAAGAACACCAAUGGCGAAGGCAGGUCUCUGGGCCGUCACUGACGCUGAGGAGCGAAAGCGUGGGGAGCGAACAGGAUUAGAUACCCUGGUAGUCCACGCCGUAAACGGUGGAUGCUGGAUGUGGGGACCAUUCCACGGUCUCCGUGUCGGAGCCAACGCGUUAAGCAUCCCGCCUGGGGAGUACGGCCGCAAGGCUAAAACUCAAAGAAAUUGACGGGGGCCCGCACAAGCGGCGGAGCAUGCGGAUUAAUUCGAUGCAACGCGAAGAACCUUACCUGGGCUUGACAUGUUCCCGACGGUCGUAGAGAUACGGCUUCCCUUCGGGGCGGGUUCACAGGUGGUGCAUGGUCGUCGUCAGCUCGUGUCGUGAGAUGUUGGGUUAAGUCCCGCAACGAGCGCAACCCUCGCCCUGUGUUGCCAGCACGUCGUGGUGGGAACUCACGGGGGACCGCCGGGGUCAACUCGGAGGAAGGUGGGGAUGACGUCAGAUCAUCAUGCCCCUUACGUCCAGGGCUUCACGCAUGCUACAAUGGCCGGUACAACGGGAUGCGAC